CCUACGGGAGACAGCAGUGGGGAAUAUUGCACAAUGGGGGAAACCCUGAUGCAGCGACGCCGCGUGAGCGAUGAAGUAUUUCGGUAUGUAAAGCUCUAUCAGCAGGGAAGUAAAUGACGGUACCUGACUAAGAAGCCCCGGCUAACUACGGGCCAGCAGCCGCGGUAAUACGUAGGGGGCAAGCGUUAUCCGGAUUUACUGGGUGUAAAGGGGGCGUAGACGGUCCUGCAAGCCAGAUGUGAAAGCCCGGGGCUCAACCCCGGGACUGCAUUUGGAACUGUAAGGCUUGAGUGUCGGAGAGGCAGGCGGAAUUCCUAGUGUAGCGGUGAAAUGCGUAGAUAUUAGGAGGAACACCAGUGGCGAAGGCAGCCUGCUGGACGAUGACUGACGUUGAGGCUCGAAAGCGUGGGGAGCAAACAGGAUUAGAUACCCGGGUAGUC
rnacentral:rRNA from 1 species